AUCCCAGGGAGCAUGGAGAGGCCUGAAACCCAGCCCAGGGGAGCUAGGAAAGCUUCAGGAGGUCGAGGAGAGGCCCAGGGCGCCGGGCGGGGGUGCCAGCCAGCCUUCCAGGCAGCAGCACGUCUGCAGAGCUAGGAUUUGCGCAUUCCAAGAAUGGCUGUCCCAGCACGGGCGGCCGCCACACACACAGGUCACUGGCUUUACGGUGUCCAGGAGCCAGUGCACCCUCCUUGGUGGCUCACCUGGCACGCCCGGCACUCAUUCCACACUGGCCUGUUGCCAGAAGCUGCUCCCACACCAGGGCGGAGCCGAGGAGACUCCGGGGGCUGAGGCCGCUGGACCGGCAGGGGCUGCAUCCGCCAGUCUCAGCCCCGCCCCCGCAGGGGCGCGCUGGGCACCAAGGGGUGUGUGCUUGGCCCCAGGGAGAAGACGGAGCAAGGCUGUGAAGCCACCUGGACCCCUAUCUGAAGGAUCUGCUCCCAGCUGCCCACCCGCUAUGGGGAACUACAGCUCAGCAGUUCAGGUAAGGCCCUGCCAGUGCAGGACCCUGCGGGCAGGGUGGUGUCUCCCCCACCAGGCCUGGGGCUGAAGGCACCCCUGCCCUUCCCCCAAGGGCUGGCCUCCUGCUGUGCCAUGCGGGCCUCCCCCCCACACCCUAGUCUGUAGGAGUGAUGAGGCAGGACAGAAAGAGGGGGAGGCACUCAGGCCUGCUGCCUGCAGCCAGCAGCGUCCAGGCCCAGAGACCACUCAGACCGCAUCUCUGCUGGGGACCAGGGACCAGGUCCUGGGCUGGCCCCCCCUGAUGGGGGCGCUCUGGAAUCCAGAAGACCAAGCUACCAUAAGGGGACCCCAGGCGUCAGUUCGCGGGGUCAACUGGCCCGAGGGGGCUCCCACGCGGGGUUCAGCGAGCACGGCCCGGGAGGCUGGUCAACCUGCCGCCAGGCUUUGACAGGAAGCCUCAGUGGGUAAGCCGGUUACCUGGCGCGCUGCCAGGGGGCCCUGCAGGAGGUUUGUGGGAGGGGGCGGAGCAGCGGAGCCCAGGGAGGGUGGCGGGCAGAGAGGGCUGAGGCUGGGGGUCCACUUUCAGAGCUUUCCCGGGACCCCCACUCCCCGCUCCGUGUGUCCCACCCCCCAGAGCCACCCCCGCCCGGCAGGAGAGAAACUGGGAGGGCCGGGAA
rnacentral:lncRNA from 1 species